rnacentral:rRNA from 1 species
CCUACGGGAGGCAGCAGUGGGGAAUCUUGCGCAAUGGGCGAAAGCCUGACGCAGCCAUGCCGCGUGUAUGAUGAAGGUCUUAGGAUUGUAAAAUACUUUCACCGGUGAAGAUAAUGACUGUAGCCGGAGAAGAAGCCCCGGCUAACUUCGUGCCAGCAGCCGCGGUAAUACGAAGGGGGCUAGCGUUGCUCGGAAUUACUGGGCGUAAAGGGAGCGUAGGCGGACAUUUAAGUCAGAGGUGAAAUCCCGGAGCUUAACUUCGGAACUGCCUUUGAUACUGGGUGUCUUGAGUGUGAGAGAGGUAUGUGGAACUCCGAGUGUAGAGGUGAAAUUCGUAGAUAUUCGGAAGAACACCAGUGGCGAAGGCGACAUACUGGCUCAUUACUGACGCUGAGGCUCGAAAGCGUGGGGAGCAAACAGGAUUAGAUACCCUGGUAGUCCACGCCGUAAACGAUGAUUGCUAGUUGUCGGGAAGCUUGCUUCUCGGUGACGCAGCUAACGCAUUAAGCAAUCCGCCUGGGGAGUACGGUCGCAAGAUUAAAACUCAAAGGAAUUGAGG